AAAUGAAGAGGCUCAGAAGUUCUUAAAACUCAUACAUGAGAAUAUCAGAGGUGACCACACGUGCUCUUUUGCCUGGGGAUGGCUCUGGUUUAUACCGUGUGUACUGGUGUCAUUAUUAAUCUGGCUCCUCUUCGCUGUCCAGAGUGACUGUCUGCUUCCCUGGCGCUCUUCUGCAACCUGGUAGUGUUCAAUGACCGUGGGAUCUCUGGACGGUGCUGUGUACAACAUGCUGUGGACCGAGGGCCUCAAAGUUCAAUGGGGACUAAGACUUCCUAACAUCUCAGUGACCCCCCGCCUACAGAUAUAAGAAACUCAGCUCGGAAUAUACGUGUUUAUGGAUGACGACUGACUGUGCCUAUCCUGUCCUUCGGACUUCAGCUCAAUCCUAAUCCCUUUCAGAGAAGUAUCACUUGACAUCUCAAAAGCAGUAAAACCCUCUUUGGCACUUGUGAC